CAGCCGCCGCGGUAAUACGAAGGGGGCUAGCGUUGCUCGGAAUUACUGGGCGUAAAGCGCACGUAGGCGGCUUGGUAAGUUAGAGGUGAAAGCCUGGGGCUCAACUCCAGAAUUGCCUUUAAGACUGCCGAGCUAGCAGGUGAGAGAGGUAAGUGGAAUUCCGAGUGUAGAGGUGAAAUUCGUAGAUAUUCGGAAGAACACCAGUGGCGAAGGCGGCUUACUGGCUCAUACUGGACGCUGAGGUGCGAAAGCGUGGGGAGCAAACAGGAUUAGAUACCCCUGUAGUCCCUGUCUCUUAUAC
rnacentral:rRNA from 1 species